rnacentral:miRNA from 1 species
UUUGUAUUUAGUGCAGAAAUUGUUACCAUUUUUUAACUGAAAAUGGUAACAAUUUCUGCACGUAAUACAAA